UCUGCUUCUAUCUCCCUUUAGAACCAGACCAGUGUCAUUUCUAAAGCAGGCAAUCCACUAUGACAGCCAACUAUCCAAGCCCAUGCUGAUUUAGAGAGGGGCUCUCUCUUUCCUCUAAUAUUACACGCAGCAGACAACGGCUUGCCUCCUAAAUGACAAGAUAUAUGGACUUGAAGAAGAACUAAAUAAGAAAGAAAAAAAUAUAGACCCAGCUGACUUACCUUAUUUUCUCCAUCUCUGCCGCAGAGGCCUGCAAGAAAUCAAACAAGAAGGAAGCAAGUGAAUGGAAAGUGGAUCAGCGGGCAGAUAAAGGCGCAGCCAGCGGUGCAAACAUCUGCAUGAGCAGAAGAAAGGCGAGAAGGAGGGAGGAAAAGGGAAAGAAAAGGAAGAAGAAAAAAAACCAACACCAGAAGCACAUUGACAGGUUUCAACUCCAGCAGAAAGGAGUCCGCUGCAGGAAGGAGGGGAGGAAAAAAAAGAAAGAAAGCUAUGCCCAGGAGGCAUAUAUGGGCAGCAAUAGAAAUGGCAUAGAGCUGUGAACUUGUGUAUUGCCUGGACAAAAUUGUGCGUGCAACAUGGUGCUUCGACACACACAAACAGAGGCUGAACGUGAAGCUUGUAUUGGACUUGGAUGAUGUUUGAACAGCCGAAAGAUGCCAUCUGGCAGCAAAUGAGGAGACUGAAACAGAAGGAUGAAACUUAAGUAGAGUGGCUGAAAGUCAUCUAUGGCCAUUCAGAGAAUAGGACUACUCAUAUUUUGAGAUCAUGUAUCAGAAGAUGGAGUCUUACUAUGCUUGCGAUGAGUGAGUUCUGAAAGACUUAAUUAAACCAAUGCUUUCCUUUCUUUUGUUGUUGUUGCUGUUUUGUUUUUAAUGGAGGACAAACU